AUACGUUCAGUCUCAUCGAUAGUGGCAAACAUGGCGCUCUGACAAAUCGUUCACUUCAAUGUUCACAAUGUUUGCCAUUGUGUAAUUUUUAUGAUUACAGCACGCGACAUCAAACGACAUUAUUAAAGAAAGCGUAUCUACUAACAGUAAAUCAAGAAUUUCUCAAAUUAAUUGGUAGGCAAGAAAGUGACGGCAAAUCUAAUUACACGUAUGAGUCGUUAGUCACUUUGAUAAAACAGACGGAUGAUCUGAGUAUUGUGAGAAUCUAUUUUGAUUCUACGUACGCUAUACUAUUCGCAAAACGCUCACUCUACAAUUGGUUGGAAAUAUUAUCAAAUAUUGGCGGAGUCAUUGGCAUUUUUGUUGGCUGCUCACUCAUUAGUGUAUUUGAGGUUAUCUACUUUUUCAUCGUAAGAUUGACACAUAAUAUUCGAAAAUAUUACUAAAUUAUAAAAAAGAUGUUAAUAGAUAAUCAACUGAACGCCUAGAAGCUUUAAGUGUAAUCAUUUUUAUACUCUUGCAACAUGUGGCUAGAGAGUGCAAUAAUUUUGUUACCCUAACGGUUGUUUAUAUCACCCAAACAUAAUUGAGUUAGAUAUAGGAUCAUGUAUAUAAAUGAUUAGGAUGAAGAGACGAGUUGAAAUCCGGGUGAUUGUUUGUAUGCUCGUGCAAGCUGUAACUUUAGUAAAACUUGAGAUAUCCUGAUCAAACUUGGUAUGCGCGUUCUUUGGCAAAAAAGUAAGGACGAGAUCGUAUGUGAAAUCACUGGACAUACUGGGCCCAUUUCAAUCAAAAUCGGUUUAUAUCUUUAUCUUGGUGGUUCUACGUAACAUUGUGAAAAUGAGCGCAAUCGGACUAUAACCACGCCUACUUUCCAUAUAGUACAAUUUUAAAUUCUAUUUGAUUCUUUCAGUUCCCAGUACACAAAUUAAGCACCAAUGAAUACAUUCGGGUAAAACUUUGCACAAAUAGUGUCUUUGGGGUACCCCAUCUCGUUAUUAAAAAUUGUCAAAAUCCAUAACUGCUCAAGCCCCCAUAUACCGAAUGUGUGUGCCCCAGUGCGUAUGGCUCUAUUUUUGCCGAAAAUAUCGGUCAAUAUAUAAUAUUGAAAUUCGGGGGAAAAUGUUUUUUUUUUUGUUAAUAGUUUAUCAUUGUGUCAAAAAUGGGUUGAAUCGGGUUAAUAGUAAGGAAGUGUAAAUCUAAAUAAAGAAUUUCAAACUUCCAGUUCCAUUUAUAAUACAUAUGUACUAUGUCGGCUUAUAUUUUUCUAAAAACAGUUAUCUUUGUGCUUAAAUAGAUAUAAUCGGGUGAAAAAUUGUCUUGGCCCAUUAAACUGACAAACCUUUUGCACCUUAUAGUAUUUGACCGGCUUUGAUCCUUGCAAGUUGCAAGAGUAUAAAAUGUUAGGUUACACACGAACUUAGCCCUUUUUUACUUGUUUAUAAACGUAUUUACAAUUUAUUAAUAAAACACUGAAGUCUAGUCAAUAUUGGAUGCCAUCACGGGGCUUUAUUAAACAAAAAUACAAUUCCACUUGCCGCUUAAUGCAAUUUGUAGAACUAUAUUAUAUAUUUGUGUAUUUAUUUAUGUAUAAAAUGUGUAUGUACUUAUUUUAAGAAAUAUUUAUUUUACCAUUAUUCGACUCUGACAAUUAUUAAGCUCAAAAUUUUAAAUAAAUAUUUGUU